UGGGGAAUAUUGCACAAUGGGCGCAAGCCUGAUGCAGCCAUGCCGCGUGUAUGAAGAAGGCCUUCGGGUUGUAAAGUACUUUCAGUCGGGAGGAAGGUGGUAAGGUUAAUAACCUUGGCAAUUGACGUUACCGACAGAAGAAGCACCGGCUAACUCCGUGCCAGCAGCCGCGGUAAUACGGAGGGUGCAAGCGUUAAUCGGAAUUACUGGGCGUAAAGCGCACGCAGGCGGUUGAUUGAGUCAGAUGUGAAAUCCCCGGGCUUAACCCGGGAAUUGCAUCUGAUACUGGUCAGCUAGAGUCUUGUAGAGGGGGGUGGAAUUCCAGGUGUAGCGGUGAAAUGCGUAGGGAUGUGGAGGAAUACCGGUGGCGAAGGCGGCCCCCUGGACAAAGACUGACGCUCAGGUGCGAAAGCGUGGGGAGCAAACAGG
rnacentral:rRNA from 1 species